rnacentral:rRNA from 1 species
GACGAACGCUGGCGGCGUGCUUAACACAUGCAAGUCGAACGGAAAGGCCCUGCUUGCAGGGUACUCGAGUUGCGAACGGGUGAGUAACACGUGGGUGAUCUGCCCUGCACUUCGGGAUAAGCCUGGGAAACUGGGUCUAAUACCGGAUAGGAGCCAUUUUUAGUGUGAUGGUUGGAAAGUUUUUUCGGUGUAGGCUGAGCUCGCGGGCUAUCAGCUUGUUGGUGGGGUAAUGGCCUACCAAGGCGGCGGCGGGUAGCCGGCCUGGGUGGGUGGACGGCCACAAUGGGACUGAGGGACGGCCCAGAUUGCGAAGGGAGGCAGCAGGGGGGAAUAUUGCACAAGGGGCGCAAGGCUGAUGCAGCGACGCCGCGUGGGGGAUGACGGCCUUAGGGUUGUAAACUCCUUGCGCUAGGGACGAAGCUUUUUGUGACGGUACCUAGAGAAGAAGCACCGGCUAACUACGUG